UAAACGACUCUCGGCAACGGAUAUCUCGGCUCUCGCAUCGAUGAAGAACGUAGCGAAAUGCGAUACUUGGUGUGAAUUGCAGAAUCCCGUGAACCAUCGAGUCUUUGAACGCAAGUUGCGCCCGAAGCCUUUUGGUUGAGGGCACGUCUGCCUGGGCGUCACGC
rnacentral:rRNA from 1 species